AGCUUUCUGUAUUCGUGCUGAGAUUUUGUCACACUCCAAACCACAACGGCUGAUGAGACUCCCAAGAUAAGUGAGGCG
rfam:Schistosoma mattheei strain Denwood, Zambia genome assembly, scaffold: SMTD_contig0016325